CCCUUAGAUGUUCUGGGCCGCACACGCGCUACACUGAAGGAGGCAGCGUGUACUCCUGGAUCGAAAGAUUUGGGUAACCCGCGAAUCUCCUUCGUGCUAGGGAUUGAGGUUUGCAAUUAUCCUUCAUGAACGAGGAAUUCCCAGUAAGUGCAAGUCAUAAGCUUGCGCUGACUACGUCCCUGCCCUUUGUACACACCGCCCGUCGCUACUACCGAUUGAAUGGUCCGGUGAAAAUUUCGGAUACCGGCGUUGCUGGCGGUUCGCCGCCGGCGACGCUGGUAGAAGAUCUUUAAACCUUAUCAUUUAGAGGAAGGAGAAGUCGUAACA
rnacentral:rRNA from 1 species